rnacentral:rRNA from 1 species
GGGUCAGUAGGUUGGUCGUGCCACCGGUACGUACUGGUCUCACUGAUUCCUCCUUCCUGAAUAACCGUAAUGCCAUUAAUUUGGUGUUGCGGGGAAACAGGACUGUUACUUUGAGAAAAUUAGAGUGUUUAAAGCAAGCUAACGCUUGAAUACAUUAGCAUGGAAUAAUGAAAUAGGACGAUCGAUCCUAUUUUGUUGGUUUCUAGGAUUGACGUA